rnacentral:rRNA from 1 species
UGUGUAGGCGGCCACGCAAGUCGGAUGUGAAAGCCCCGGGCUCAACCCGGGAAGUGCACCCGAAACUGCGUGGCUUGAGUCUCGGAGAGGUUGGUGGAAUUCUCGGUGUAGAGGUGAAAUUCGUAGAUAUCGAGAGGAACACCGGUGGCGAAGGCGGCCAACUGGACGAAGACUGACGCUGAGACACGAAAGCGUGGGGAGCAAACAGGAUUAGAUACCCUGGUAGUCCACGCCGUAAACGAUGGGUGCUAGGUGUCACGGGCAUUGACUCCCGUGGUGCCGUAGCAAACGCAUUAAGCACCCCGCCUGGGAAGUACGGCCGCAAGGCUAAA